rnacentral:rRNA from 1 species
GACGAACGCUGGCGGCGUGCUUAACACAUGCAAGUCGAGCGGUAAGGCCCUUUUGGGGGUACACGAGCGGCGAACGGGUGAGUAACACGUGGGUGACCUGCCUUUGGCUUCGGGAUAAGCCUGGGAAACUGGGUCUAAUACCGGAUAUGACUUGGCUUCGCAUGGGGUUGGGUGGAAAGUUCGGUGUUGUAGUGGCACUGUUCGGCUGGAGAUGGGCCCGCGGCCUAUCAGCUUGUUGGCGGGGUAACGGCCCACCAAGGCGA